rnacentral:rRNA from 1 species
UCGGGCGGCCAAAGCGGGGAGGUUCACCCGUUCCCAUUUCGAACACGGAAGUUAAACUCCCCCGCGUACUGGCGUGUACUGCCUUCGGGCGGGAAAGCCAGCACGCUGCCCACU